AGUCGAGAAGGAGGAGGAAGCAGUAGUGGCAGCGGCUGCGGCGCCUGUGAGGGGGGCCGGGGUGAGCGCCGCGAUCCAGGCCGGGAGUGAGGCGCGGGCGGCCGGGCUGGUGGGCUGGGCGGCGGGCCCGGCGGCCGCCCCCACGCCGCGCCCGGUGGCCCGAUGUGGCUGCAGCAGCGGCUUAAGGGGCUGCCGGGACUGCUGUCGAGCAGCUGGGCCCGCCGCCUACUCUGUCUGCUCGGCCUCCUGGUGCUGCUUCUGUGGUUCGCGGGCUCCGGGGCGCGGCGGGCGGCGGGCGGCCUGCAGCUGUUGCCCUGGCCCCGCGGCAAGCCGGGCGCCGCUGAGCCCUCUGCGUGUCUGGAGGCGGCCACCCGCGCCUGGCACGGCCUGCGGGAGCGGGGCGAGGCCGUACCGCUGGGCCCUGGAGUGCCGGCCCUGGUGGCCAACGGCUACCUGGUCCUGGACGUGGUCGGCAACCGGCUGUGGGUGACGCCUGGGGAGCGGGAGCCCUCCGUGGCACCGGACUUCUUGCCCUUCGUGCAGCUGCGCCCGCUGAGCGCACUUUCUGAAGCUGGAGAGUCAGUAUUGCUGCUUCGGGAAGGGCUGCUGCGGAGGGUGCGUUGCCUACAGCUCGGGACCCCGGGUUCGGGCCCGGCGGCCGCCGGCCCCGCCUCGGCCUCUGGCUUUGUCACGGGAUCUGGCCGAGACUGCGUGCUGCUGCAAGAGGACUUUCUGGCGCACCGGGGCCGACCCCACGUCUAUUUACAGCGCAUCCAGCUUAACAACCCCACAGAGCGCGUGGCCGCGCUGCAGGCUGUGGGGCCCACGGCGGGCCCGGGUCCCAGGGCCUUCACCAGCACCCUGGAGAAGGUCGGAGACCAUCAGUUCCUCCUCUACUCGGGCCGGUCCCCGCUUUUUUCCACGGGUCUAGUGUACCUGGUGGUGGUGGCCGCCAAGAAGCUAGUGAACCGUCUCCAAGUGGCUCCCAAGACGCAGCUGGACGAGACUGUGCUGUGGGUGGUGCAUGUCUCAGGCCUACUGGACGCCCAUGGGCUCAGAAGCAAAGCCGCCAAGGAGCUCAAGGUGCUCCAGGACUUGGCACGGAAGGAAAUGCUGGAGCUUUUGGAGAUGCCCGCGGCUGAGCUGCUUCAGGACCACCAGCGGCUCUGGGCUCAGCUCUUCAGCCCAGGCGUGGAGAUGAAGAAGAUCACCGAUGCGCACACUCCGUCCGGCCUGACCGUGAACCUGACACUCUACUACAUGCUCUCCUGCUCCCCGGCCCCGCUGCUCAGCCCCGACUUGAGCCACCGGGAGCGGGACCAGAUGGAAUCAACACUCAACUAUGAAGACCACUGCUUCAGCGGCCACGCCACCAUGCACGCUGAGAACCUCUGGCCAGGCCACCUGUCCUCCGUCCAGCAGAUCCUGCAGCUCUGGGACCUGUGGAGGCUGACCCUGCAGAAGCGCGGCUGCAAGGGGCUUGUGCGGGCGGGCGCCCCAGGCAUCCUGCAGGGCAUGGUGCUCAGCUUUGGCGGCCUGCAGUUCACCGAGAACCACCUGCAGUUCCAGGCCGACCCCGACGUGCUGCACAACAGCUACGCCCUGCACGGCAUCCGCUACAAGAACGACCACAUCAACCUGGCCGUGCUGGCAGAUGCCGAGGGCAAGCCGUACCUGCACGUGUCUGUGGCGUCGCGAGGCCAGCCCAUCAAGAUCUACGCCUGCGAAGCAGGCUGCCUGGACGAGCCUGUGGAGCUGACCUCAGCGCCCCAGGGCCACACCUUCUCGGUCAUGGUCACGCAGCCCAUCACGCCGCUGCUGUACAUCUCCACGGACCUCACGCACCUGCAGGACCUGCGGCACACGCUGCACCUCAAGGCCAUCCUGGCCCACGACGAGCACAUGGCCCAGCAGGACCCCGGGCUGCCCUUCCUCUUCUGGUUCAGCGUGGCCUCCCUCAUCACCCUCUUCCACCUCUUCCUCUUCAAGCUCAUCUACAACGAGUACUGCGGGCCUGGCGCCAAGCCCCUCUUCAGGAGCAAGGGCUUCCCGGGAAAGCACAGGAGGGCAGCCCUUGUCAGCGGUCCCGGGCGAGGGCGCUUCUAGAGGGCCGAGCUGGUUCCCCGCCGCCUCUCGUCCCUCGUCAGACUGUAGUGAGUUGCAGGGAGGACCCCAGCGUGUGAGGGACACUCAGUCCUGCUUUCAGGCGCCACUUGCACAAGACGCCCGGCACUGUAAGUCGUGCUGCUGUGAACAAGGGAUCCUUCGGAAGCACCCUGCCUUUUGUGCCUUGUUGGGGGACACCAGUGACGCAGAAGCACGUGUUCAGGAGUUUGUGUUGGGGAGCAGGGGAGGGGAGGGGCCCGUGGCCGCUUUGUAAGCUUUCGACUCAAUAAAAUGAACCUGUACGGAAAAUA